rnacentral:misc_RNA from 1 species
GAAAAAGAUGCUGACUUCCCAUUAGUUUUUCUGCUAGCAAACAACCUUGUUGAAUUAGAGCUGAAUGGGUUUAUUAUACUGGAGGUAAUGGAUAUUUAGGUUACCUCAACUAUAGCAUAUAGUGAUUUGCACUUUNNNAAGAUCGUGCUAGUGAUGGUAAUGACAGAUGAAAAUGAACAAAGAAUAUUGUGGUCUGGUGGAUCGAAUGGUUCUCAUGUGGGAAAUCAUAGAUGUUGAAGCUGGUG